CGUGUAGGCGGCUUCGUAUGUCCCAUGUGAAAGCCCUCGGCUCAACCGGGGAACUGCAUGGGAAACUGCGGAGCUUGAGUCCGGGAGAGGAGAGUGGAAUUCCCGGUGUAGCGGUGAAAUGCGUAGAUAUUGGGAGGAACACCAGUGGCGAAGGCGGCUCUCUGGACCGGUACUGACGCUGAGACGCGAAAGCUAGGGGAGCAAACG
rnacentral:rRNA from 1 species